rnacentral:rRNA from 1 species
GGAGCUUGCUCCAAAGUUAGUGGCGAACGGGUGAGUAACAUAUCGGAACAUGUCCGGAAGUGGGGGAUAACGUAGCGAAAGUUACGCUAAUACCGCAUAUGCCCUGAGGGGGAAAGGGGGGGAUCGCAAGACCUCUCGCUUUCGGAGUGGCCGAUAUCGGAUUAGCUAGUAGGUGAGGUAAAGGCUCACCUAGGCGACGAUCCGUAGCUGGUCUGAGAGGACGACCAGCCACACUGGAACUGAGACACGGUCCAGACUCCUACGGGAGGCAGCAGUGGGGAAUUUUGGACAAUGGGCGCAAGCCUGAUCCAGCCAUACCGCGUGAGUGAAGAAGGCCUUCGGGUUGUAAAGCUCUUUCAGCCGGAAAGAAAUCGCACUUCUUAAUACGAAAUGUGGAUGACGGUACCGGAAGAAGAAGCACCGGCUAACUACGUGCCAGCAGCCGCGGUAAUACGUAGGGUGCGAGCGUUAAUCGGAAUUACUGGGCGUAAAGCGUGCGCAGGCGGCCUUUUAAGCCAGAUGUGAAAUCCCCGGGCUUAACCUGGGAACUGCAUUUGGAACUGGAAGGCUAGAGUGUAGCAGAGGGGGGUAGAAUUCCACGUGUAGCAGUGAAAUGCGUAGAUAUGUGGAGGAAUACCGAUGGCGAAGGCAGCCCCCUGGGCUAACACUGACGCUCAUGCACGAAAGCGUGGGGAGCAAACAGGAUUAGAUACCCUGGUAGUCCACGCCCUAAACGAUGUCAACUAGGUGUUGGGGAAGGAGACUUCUUUAGUACCGCAGCUAACGCGUGAAGUUGACCGCCUGGGGAGUACGGUCGCAAGAUUAAAACUCAAAGGGAAUUUGACGGGGACCCGCACAGCGGUGGAUUAUGUGG